rnacentral:rRNA from 1 species
UCCUACGGGGGGCAGCAGUGGGGAAUUUUCCGCAAUGGGCGCAAGCCUGACGGAGCAACGCCGCGUGAGGGAGGAAGGCCUGUGGGUCGUAAACCUCUUUUCUUAGGGAAGAAGAUUUGACGGUACCUGAGGAAUCAGCAUCGGCUAACUCCGUGCCAGCAGCCGCGGUAAGACGGAGGAUGCAAGCGUUAUCCGGAAUUAUUGGGCGUAAAGCGUCCGUAGGUGGUUUAUCAAGUCUGUUGUUAAAGCUCACAGCUCAACUGUGAAUCGGCAAUGGAAACUGAAAGACUAGAGUGUGGUAGGGGUAGAGGGAAUUCCUAGUGUAGCGGUGAAAUGCGUAGAUAUUAGGAAGAACACCAGUGGCGAAGGCGCUCUACUGGGCCAUAACUGACACUGAUGGACGAAAGCUAGGGGAGCGAAAGGGAUUAGAUACCCCUGUAGUCCUAGCUGUAAACGAUGGACACUAGGUGUUGGCCGUAUCGACCCGGUCAGUAUCGAAGCAAACGCGUUAAGUGUCCCGCCUGGGGAGUACGCACGCAAGUGUGAAACUCAAAUGAAUUGACGG